UAGCUCAGUGGUAGAGUGCAUGCUUAGCAUGCACAAGGUCCUGGGUUCAAUCCCCAG
rnacentral:tRNA from 1 species